AACGAACGCUGGCGGCAUGCCUAACACAUGCAAGUCGAACGAGACCUCCGUGACUGGUUGCGCACGGGUGCGGAACGCGUCGGAAGCUUCCCUUAUGCUCCGAAUAAUUCUUCGAAAGGGGUGCUAAUACCGGGUAAUUUCUUCGGAUACAAGAUUCAUCGCCUUUGGUUGGGCCGGCGUUGUCUGAGCUGUGUGCUAUUGUAAAAGCCGACCAAGGCUAGGAUCCAUAGCUGGUCUGCGAGGCUGGUCAGCCACUCUGAGGCUGGGAUACGGUGGAGACUAUUACGGAAGGCAGCAGUGGGGAAUAUAGGACAACGGGGGAGAGCAUGAACCAGCUCUGCCGCGUGAGUGAUGAAGGUAUGAGGGUUGUAAAGCUCUUUUACCCGCGAUGAUUAUGACAGUACCGGGAGAAUAAGCUCCGGCUAACUCCGUG
rnacentral:rRNA from 1 species